CAGGUGCAUGUUGGUCCAAGAAUGGAGAAGCUUGAGCUAUCCUCAGAUCUGAAGUUCUUGAGCAAAAUCCAAAUUGAGUGGUUCAAAGUUCUGCUGAUAGGUAUUGAAAAUAUCUACAACUUGGCGUUGGUCUAAUCCUCAAAUUCGUUACGGAUUUUGCAUGAUCAAGAUCUGGUCAGAUCUGACUUGGUCGAAUUAAACCAGGAGCUUGGAGACGAAUUUUUGAAUGAAACCAACUGGGGGAUACUUAGUUGUGCCAUGGUGAUACCUAGAGAGGCAAUUGCUAAGUCGUGGCACUCUCAUACCUUUACUAGAUGCGAACAAUUUCGGAGGAGAAGAAGAAGAAGUGGAAUCGGACAAGGAUUUUAUUUGUACUGUGGGAAUUCUUAUUUGAUGGAGUUGAAGAAGUCCAGGGACAAAUAAGCCAAG